rnacentral:lncRNA from 1 species
AUUCAAGGCCCACUCUGGCCUUCAUAAGACCCUGUCUUUAAAACAGCUUUUAAAAAAAGAAAUCACUCUUCUGGCACUGCUCAUGGCCUUGUUACGCCUCUGUCCCAGGUUAUUAUAGAAUGUAUCCAUUGUAUAGUAAGUACAGAGUGGGCAUGGGGUCCUGGACUCCAGACCCUCCCCCAGUCAGAAGCCUCAGGACCACCCUUCUCUGAAUGCCCGGCUCUCCCCAGAGAGACAGCUGGUCCCCACUCUGCAGUCCACCCUGUCCUAGUAAGUAACUUGUGUUUCUUUCUGUUUUUUUUUUCCUUUUCUGUUUUUGUUUUGUGUUUUUCCCCUAACCUUUCCAGGUCAGAGUACACCUGUAAGCCAGCUGGGUUCUUCAGCCUUCCCUGAAUCCCCUGAUCCAUUCCAGCCACUCGAGGCUGACAGCGGCGACCCGUUCCAAAAUAAAAAGGGGUUUGGGGACCCAUUUAGUGGCAAAGAUCCAUUUGCCCCUUCCUCUUCAGCUAAACCUCCUAAGGCCUCUUCUUCCGGCUUUGCCGACUUCACCUCUUUUGGCAAUGAGGAGCAGCAGCUGGCCUGGGCCAAACGGGAGAGUGAGAA